GAGAGGAACGAAGGAGAAGCAGUUAGAGGAGAUCCACUCACGGGAUUCUGCGUUGUUGAUUUGUGUGUGGAAGUAUCAAGGGUUUGCCUGCCUCCAUUGUUGCUCGUCUGCUGAAAUAAGUUGGAAUCUUUGCCACGGUGCCUGUCUCUCUGUGCUCAGGUUUAUUGGAGCUCUCAGGUUGUACCCCAGCAGGCCCCUCUUCAGGUCCAGCGGGUUCUCUGGUAAGU